rnacentral:rRNA from 1 species
AUUGAACGCUGGCGGCAGGCCUAACACAUGCAAGUCGAGCGGUAGAGAGAAGCUUGCUUCUCUUGAGAGCGGCGGACGGGUGAGUAAUGCCUAGGAAUCUGCCUGAUAGUGGGGGAUAACGUCCGGAAACGGACGCUAAUACCGCAUACGUCCUACGAGAGAAAGUGGGGGCUCUUCGGACCUCACGCUAUCAGAUGAGCCUAGGUCGGAUUAGCUAGUUGGUGGGGUAAAGGCUCACCAAGGCGACGAUCCGUAACUGGUCUGAGAGGAUGAUCAGUCACACUGGAACUGAGACACGGUCCAGACUCCUACGGGAGGCAGCAGUGGGGAAUAUUGGACAAUGGGCGAAAGCCUGAUCCAGCCAUGCCGCGUGUGUGAAGAAGGUCUUCGGAUUGUAAAGCACUUUAAGUUGGGAGGAAGGGUCGUUACCUAAUACGUGACGAUUUUGACGUUACCGACAGAAUAAGCACCGGCUAACUCUGUGCCAGCCGCCGCCGUAAUAC